rnacentral:rRNA from 1 species
UUAGAUAAAAAACCAAUGCCCUUCGGGGCUCUUUGGUGAUUCAUGAUAACUUCUCAGAUCGCAUGGCCUUGCGCCGGCGACGGUUCAUUCAAAUUUCUGCCCUAUCAACUUUCGAUGGUAAGGUAUUGGCUUACCAUGGUUUCAACGGGUAACGGGGAAUUAGGGUUCGAUUCCGGAGAGGGAGCCUGAGAAACGGCUACCACAUCCAAGGAAGGCAGCAGGCGCGCAAAUUACCCAAUCCCGACACGGGGAGGUAGUGACAAUAAAUACUGAUACAGGGCUCUUUUGGGUCUUGUAAUUGGAAUGAGUACAAUUUAAACCUCUUAACGAGGAACAAUUGGAGGGCAAGUCUGGUGCCAGCAGCCGCGGUAAUUCCAGCUCCAAUAGCGUAUAUUAAAGUUGUUGCAGUUAAAAAGCUCGUAGUUGAACCUUGGGCCUGGCUGGCAGGUCCGCCUCACCGCGUGUACUUGACCGGCCGGGCCUUCUCUUCUGGAGAACCUCAUGCCCUUUACUGGGCGUGUUGGGGACCAGGACUUUUACUUUGAAAAAAUUAGAGUGUUCAAAGCAGGCCUUUGCUCGAAUAUGUUAGCAUGGAAUAAUGGAAUAGGACGUGCGGUCCUAUUUUGUUGGUUUCUAGGACCGCCGUAAUGAUUAAUAGGGACAGUCGGGGGCAUCAGUAUUCAAUUGUCAGAGGUGAAAUUCUUGGAUUUAUUGAAGACUAACUACUGCGAAAGCAUUUGCCAAGGAUGUUUUCAUUAAUCAGUGA